AAUGCAAAACGGACCCGGUGGACAAAGAUCCGCUGUGACUAUCAGUGAACCCAUCAAGCAAGCUAAUUUACUGCCCUGUAACUGCUCCCCUCCACACGGAUCAGCUGUUUAAACAUGGGACUGCACUGUUUUUCCUCUCCUCCGUACGUGUUUUAUUUGUUCGCUGCCACAAUGAUUGCAAGCUGCUCAUCUGUGUCUAUAGUCGUGGGUGCAGAGAGCUGUUUGGCUCCAUGCAGUGAAAGUAAUUUUGAGAUUAUUAUGACAGUUGAUUCACAAACAUACUCAUGGAAAGAAAAAUGAAAGUGCUGCAUGUCCACCGAUCAAACCAGAAGUUCUAUUCCUGCAGUAAAUGUCACCCAGUUUUUUACGUUUCAGCAGUUUUGAGUGAAGUAUGAUUGUAUGUUUUUCCUGGCGUUUCUCCCUGUGUGCAGCUUUCUUACCACUCCUCCAGCAGUAGCAACAAAAAAUGGGGUCAGAUCCACCAGUGGAUGGUAGGCAAACGGAGAGAGCGUCGUAGCUUCCAUUUCCACUAAUGCAGCCUGUUGUGUGGGAUUGAGCCCCAGUCAACCCUGACCACUCAGUUACACUUGACUCACAGACUACUCUGUACCUCACUGUGAAAAUAUGCCUCAGCAGUGUAUUUGCUUUGGAGACAUUGUAAUCUGUGACUGUGUAUUUGUAGAGCUGGCUUUGGCCUUUGACUUUAUUUAGGGUGGGUGAGCCUGCAUGCAAGGAGGUGGUUUGGACGCGUAGCUGUACUCCUGUGACCUCCAGCUACUGCAGAAAUGAUAUUUUUGAAUGUUUGCGAACCACUUUUGCAUGGAAUUAAUCCGUAUGUGUGUUGGUGUAUUGAUACCGGAAAGAGAAGAAGAGCUUUAAAGUGUUUGCCAUUAGAUGAGGCAAAAAUGUGUAAUGUAUUAGCUGUUCUUGUAUAUAAUUAAUCCUGCUGUUGUGCUUAAAGCGGCUAACAUUUCCAAAUGUUUAUGACAUCCACUUGGUGAUAAACACGCAGGAGUUGUUUUGCAUGGUUUGGGUUUUGCAUAUAUAGCAACUGUUGAGAGUUGCAGCGACCUUUCUACUUUCUCUCCAUAAUUCUUACCAACUUUCCUUCCUGACUCCAGGCUGACACAGAAAAAGCCAGAUCCUCUAGUAGUAGUAGAUCCAGCAGCCGUCAUCGCCGGGGGCUGGAUGAUGAUGUCAUGUCAGUCCGCAGCUACAGGUCAACAUCAUCAGCAAUACGCGAUUUGGGGUCUAGCAAGAGUCGAUCCAGUUCCCGUAGAAAAGACGCCUUGGUGGGUAGUGUGAGCAUUAUGAAGGCUGAAUACCUGGAUUGUCUGCAUGAAACUAGAGCUCAGCUUUGGCUCAGCAGAACUAACUCUGAAUUUAAGUGCUUUUGACUGCAUAGAGAAGUGAUUGUAUUGGGAUAGUUAACUUGGUUGUUGAUCUCAAUUUUGAUCAGAUGUCAACCAAACUGUUAGUUCCACCUUUUUCUUUUUUUUUACAUGGGAGAUUUGAAUUUCACACAUGGAAAUUGCUGCUGGAGAUAUUGGUAUUUAUUCCUGUUCCAUGUUGGAUAUCUUCUAUUGUUAAUACAGAUUGAUUAACUUUGUGAUUCUGAUUAAUUGAUAGCAAUAUUUGGUGUCGACACUUUUCAUCUAGUAAAUUACAGUGGUAUAGUGCUAGAAAUGCAUGCACACUGACACUGAGAGAUUGGACCAGUUAUAAGUUAGAAUCUUUAAAAGUAUUGCACCAAACAGCUCUGUGAGAAUUGCAGCAUAGACAUUCCUAAUGGCUUUUUUAGGAGAAUUGUGUGUAUAUUUUGUAUGUAUAUACAUGUGUGUACAUAUGUAUGUAUGCAUGGAUAGAAGCUGACCUAACAGUAGAGCUGCAAUGACUAAUUGAUUUGUUGCCAACUGUUGAAUUUAUCACCAACUAUUUUGAUAACUAAUGACUCAAUUUGAAUAUUUGUUUUUAAUCAUCUGAUUCCUGUUUCUUAAAUUUGAUUAUUUUCUUGUUUUUUUUCACCUCUGUGAUAGUAAACCGAGUAUUUUCAGUUUGUGGACAGAACAAGGCAUUUGGGGACAUUAUCUUGGGCUUUGGUCAACACUAAUUGACAUUUUUCACCAAUUUGUGACACCUUAUAGAUCUAACAGCUAGGUGAUUAAUCAAAAAAGUAACUUCAGGAAAAUAUUAUUAUACACUAGAAAUAACCGUUGGUGCUGCUCGACCUAACCGCUUCUCAAAUGUUUUUGAUCUUCUUCUGAUCUGCUUGUGCUUGUGGUUCCUGGUCUCUCUUCAGUCUGAUGGCCUCUCCAUUAGCUCCACCCUCAAGAGUUCCCGCUCCACUGUAUGUAACUAUCCACUGAUCAUCCAUUUAUCUCUGUCGGUUUUUUUUUUUUUUUUUUUAGUUCCUUUGUCUCAUCUUAGCUAUUUUUACAUUUUUUUUCUGGGCUGAACAGAGUUCUGUGUACAAUGACCUGCAUGGCCAUAAAAGGGCUUCGUCCAGCUCUUCAAGGAAGGACCUGCUGGUCAGUGUACUCCUUAGUAUCGUUGUCUCGGCUGCGACCUCAAGCAUGGAGGCAGUGUAGACUGAUAAUAGUGGUUUGCAGUGGUGACAAAAAGCUAAUCGACUUCAACCUUGAUAGGACAGACUAAUCACUACUUUUGAGGUGACCAUUAGAUCUUGCAGUGUUUAUGUAUUGGAAAUGGACAGUAGUCCAAUACUUGAGGGUAAAAUUUUUAAUGCCAGUGCUUGUUUGAGAUCAUAUUGUGUUACUGCCCUUCCAGACUGGACUGUACCAUGAUCAAAGGAACUACACCAGCCUAACGAAGACCAAACCACCGCCUCCACCCUCCACUUCCACCUAUCAGCCACGGGCCACCACUUCCUCGUCCUCCACCACCGGCACGGGGCUGUCUCGCAGCUACAGCAUGGUCAGUUUCUGUCCACUGAGUAGCCAGCAUCUCUCUGCAUGCCUCUAGUUACCUUCAGAAGCAGACCUUCCCCCUUACUCGUGGCCACACACAUGUUGAUAGGAUGCCCAGGGUGGCUGGGACUGCUUAUAUUUAGCUCCUGGACGCUCAGAGCACUUGGCUGGAGGCAGAGAUUUGCGCUUCAGUCUGAUAAGGCAGGAGUUUGUGUGGAGCCAGAGCUUUGGUUUUAGAGCACCGAAACACAUGACCUUUUUGAUGUUAGAGAAAAAUAGGUUUUCUGUUUAUUUCAUGGCCCUCAGAAAGUCGUUCUACUCUACGUACUUAGCUAGCCUGUCAGAGAUUUAUGCUCCCUCUCGUGUUUUGCUGAGUCCUGCAUUGUCUCCCACGUGUGCCCUCAGGCCUCUAUUUACGACGACGCUGGUCUUUAUGGCUCAGGCUACAGUUCAAAAGCUGUAAGUCUUCUGAAGGUUUGCCAAACAGCGUUUUGUUUUUGUGUUUUGUUUUUUUUUUGCAUUGUCA